rnacentral:rRNA from 1 species
ACGUACACUCCUACGGGAGGCAGCAGUGGGGAAUUUUGGACAAUGGGCGAAAGCCUGAUCCAGCCAUGCCGCGUGCAGGAUGAAGGCCUUCGGGUUGUAAACUGCUUUUGUACGGAACGAAACGGCCUUUUCUAAUAAAGAGGGCUAAUGACGGUACCGUAAGAAUAAGCACCGGCUAACUACGUGCCAGCAGCCGCGGUAAUACGUAGGGUGCAAGCGUUAAUCGGAAUUACUGGGCGUAAAGCGUGCGCAGGCGGUUAUGUAAGACAGUUGUGAAAUCCCCGGGCUCAACCUGGGAACUGCAUCUGUGACUGCAUAGCUAGAGUACGGUAGAGGGGGAUGGAAUUCCGCGUGUAGCAGUGAAAUGCGUAGAUAUGCGGAGGAACACCGAUGGCGAAGGCAAUCCCCUGGACCUGUACUGACGCUCAUGCACGAAAGCGUGGGGAGCAAACAGGAUUAGAAACCCGGGUAGUCCCA